rnacentral:tRNA from 1 species
AAGGAAGGACAGAAAUCAGUAAGUACUGCUAAUCCUUAUAACCGAGGUUAAAGUCCUCGGCUUCCUUA